rnacentral:lncRNA from 1 species
UAAAAACGUUGGACUUUUAGAGACUCCUUUUCUUGUCCUGAAUAGUAGCUUAGCCGAUCCUACCUUGCCAUGUCUUCGUUCAAAAUUCUGACCUGCUUUCUUGGAAUCAUUUUCAUGCUGACGUAUAAAUCCGAUAUGACCAAUGCGCACCCUCAUCAAUGGAGUUUGCCGGUGGUUUGCAACAGACAAGCGGGAGAUCUACACUAACGAUCCGAAUGGCUGGCCAACAUGUGAGAAUCAGCCCUGUACAGUGGAUGUUAGGACGAACACCAGCACUUGUCCGCCAAACUGUAUUUGCCAUGUUAACGUCACAAGACUGACCACCAAGACAGGCUUUUGCAUUAAAUAGGUAGCGCAGCAUACAUGCGGUGCUUUGUAGUUAAAUGGCG